AUUUCUGUGGCGCAAUCAGUUGGCACACUUGGCUGCUAACCAAAAGACUGGUGGUUCAAACCCACCCAGGAAAG
rnacentral:tRNA from 1 species